rnacentral:rRNA from 1 species
GACGAACGCUGGCGGCGUGCCUAAUACAUGCAAGUCGACCUUAGUGGCGAACGGGUGAGUAACACGUGGGUAACCUGCCCAUCAGAAGGGGAUAACACUUGGAAACAGGUGCUAAUACCGUAUACUGAUGGAUGGACCCGCGGUGCAUUAGCUAGUUGGUGAGGUAACGGCUCACCAAGGCCACGAUGCAUAGCCGACCUGAAAGGGUACUCGGCGACAUUGGGACGGAGACACGACCCGAACUCCUACGGGAGGGAGAAGGAGGAAAGCUUCGGCAAUGGACGAAAGGCGGACCGAGCAACGCCGCGUGAGUGAAGAAGGUUGUCGUAUCGUAAAACUCUGUUGUUAGAGAAGCGGUAUCUAACCAGAAAGCCACGGCUAACUACGUGCCAGCAGCCGCGGUAAUAC